rnacentral:lncRNA from 1 species
AACAUUUUGGUAUGGCUAGGAGACAAUACUGACCUACUAGUUGGGACGACUCUAGCUCAAUGAAGUUAUGAAACUUGUUUUUUCCUACAGGUCUGGGAGUUAAUGGAUUAAAGGAAUUAAAGAUAGUUUAAAAGACUGUCUAGAAGGGAGGCAGCUGUAUUGGGUAGCUAUUUGUGGGAGUAGAUCCCUGACAAGUUGUGUGAGGAAGUUAAGCCUCCUUGGAUUUCACUAGAAGAUGCUAACUUCAAGUGGACUGUUUUCACUAGUCAGUCUUGAUUAUACAAUUUGAGGAGCAGCGUGGGAGAAAUAUGCAUAUCUGUAUGAACGAUUGACAUACAUAGUACUAAAACCCAUGGGGCCGAGAGGGAGUCCUCUCCAGUGAAACUGGGAUCGGCGCAAAGAAUUUAGGAAAAUAUCAUCAGACGUAUCAGCCGCUGGUGUUUACCUUCAGUCUCAGGAAUUUGUGUCCUUCUCCCUUCAUCUCAAGUUGCUAAGUUUGUUUCCAGAGAAAGAGCAAGCUGCCUGCCUUGUGGACCUUUUCUACCCUGAGCAGCCACAGAAAGGAAAAGCUGUCUCAUAGCCCAGACUGGUCUAAUCUCUGAAAGUUCUGGAGAUGUCAUUAAGUUAAUCAUUUAACCACUGUAAAAAUGUUGCUGUGUAAAUGUUAUAAUGUUUAUGAUCUUUCGUAGUCAUGACUUCUGUCCUUGCUGCGUUGAAAAAUGUUUGAAAAAUUGAAAAAUGUUUUUACAUGAAGGCUUUUAUGUCUUUCUAAUGUACACAGGCAAAGCAGUUUAAUACAAUAAUGUCUAAAGAUAACUUUGCAUAAAUAUUUAGGUACCAGACUUGCUUUUUCCCAUGGGAAAUAGGCAUGUGAAUGCCUUUGAAGAUCUUGACCUUACGAUCAUCUAAGAAGGUCUAGGCAUUGUACAAACUUACAAUAAGAGACAGUUACUGCUUUCUACUGUUUGAAUAAACCAGCUGGAUAAAGGUUAGUGGCA